rnacentral:rRNA from 1 species
GACGAACGCUGGCGGCGUGCUUAACACAUGCAAGUCGAACGGAAAGGCCCUGCUUUUGUGGGGUGCUCGAGUGGCGAACGGGUGAGUAACACGUGAGUAACCUGCCCUUGACUUUGGGAUAACUUCAGGAAACUGGGGUUAAUACCGGAUAGGAGCUCCUGCUGCAUGGUGGGGGUUGGAAAGUUUCGGCGGUUGGGGAUGGACUCGCGGCUUAUCAGCUUGUUGGUGGGGUAGUGGCUUACCAAGGCUUUGACGGGUAGCCGGCCUGGGAGGGGGACCGGCCACAUUGGGACUGAGAUACGGCCCAGACUCCUACGGGAGGCAGCAGUGGGGAAUAUUGCACAAUGGGCGGAAGCCGGAUGCAGCAACGCCGCGUGCGGGAUAACGGCCUUCGGGUUGUAAACCGCUUUCGCCUGUGACGAAGCGUGAGUGACGGUAAUGGGAAAAGAAGCACCGGCUAACUACGUG